GUUGCCCUUGAAUUAGGGAGGACACAAAGCCAUCUGUUUAAACCAAGACCCCUCCUCUCUCUAGAAUACGAACUGUUCUGUUCAUCCAGAGGCAAGAUACAAAAAACUCCCCGACUGCUCAGCUGCAAUGCAUGUCAAUGUGGAAACAACAUCUACUUUAAAGACAGAAUGAUUUGCAACACACCUGAAAAUAAUCUGAAGACUGUUCCUCUAAUUACCAACUGGCUAAUUAAGAGACAGUUUAUUGGAAAAGCUUCAACUGUAACUCACCUUCAAGACCACAAUUUACUUGCACCAUACAGCCAAGAUUCUGGAGAACUUAUAUAAUCUUAGCCAUUAAGAUUGUGGGAUUUACAUAAAAAGUAGAGCCAAGUUGGAAAAGAUUGAUUUGGGGUGAUAAAAAACUUAAUUGAAGGGCAUUGCCCAUUUGUCAUUUCAAACAGAACUUCUGGAACUCCUCAUCUAAUAUGCAGAACCGACUGGAGGAAAUUCACAACUCUCAAACUAGACUUGUAGGAAAGAGAGGUGUCCUUUGAUAUCUCUACUUCCCUUCCUUUUCUUAUUUAACUCCUUUUAACCAACUCAUUUACACAAUUAUGUUUUAUGAUAUUAUCUAUUGAAUCCCUCCAAUAGUCAAUUUAAAUAGUCAGUUUUAUAUUCUAGUCUCUUCUACAUGCCUCAGCAAAAACAUAAACAUUUCACUUUCCUCUGUUC
rnacentral:lncRNA from 1 species